rnacentral:rRNA from 1 species
GAUGAACGCUAGCGGCAGGCCUAAUACAUGCAAGUCGUGGGGCAGCAGGACUGUAGCAAUACAGUUGCUGGCGACCGGCAAACGUGUGCGGCACACGUACGCAACUUAUCCUGAACUGGGGUAAAGCCCGGGGAAACCCGGAAUAAUACCCCGUAAUAUAAUGGCGUGGCAUCCCUUUGUUAUUAACGGUUUUGCGGUUCGGUAUGGGCGUGCGACUGCCUAGGUAGUUGGUUGAGGUGAUGGCGCACCAAGCCUGCGAACAGUAACUGGUGUGAGGGCAGGCCCCGUUACACGUGAACUGCGACACGGGCCCGACUGCUACGCGAGGCAGCAGUAAGGAAUAUUGGGCAAUGGAGGCAACUCUGACCCAGCCAUGCCGGGUAGAGGAUGAAGGCCCUCGGAGUUGUAAGCUUCUUUUAUAGGGGACGAAACCUGUGUAUUCUUACGCAGUUGACGGUACCCUAGGAAUAAGCACCGGCUAACUCCGUG